AACUGAGAUGGAUAGGGAGUGGCCUCUCAUGUGUGUGCAUCAAGAGAAAAGGCACAUAUGAAAGAAUAUGCAAGAACUUCAGACCCGUACAGGAACAAGCAUUGCUGCAUUGGAAACAAUCUGGAAUGCAUUGGGCUUUAACGUGUCUCGGCGUAAGUGAAAGCUAAAUGUAUUCAUUCAACUUGUAGUAAAUUGUCUUGGUCAUCUUAUCACUGCAGCUGAGCUGUUCAGUGCGCUUAGAGGUCGUCUUUACGACAGCAACAAAAAUUUAGUAAUGGCAACAUUGUCCACCAUUGGUGGUCUUGCAUCUGCUAUGGGACCUUCUGUUGAAAAGUCAAGCAAGGGUAUUUUGGCAGAUGUGCUGAAGUGUCUUGGUGACAAUAAGAAGCACAUGCGAGAAUGCACAUUGACUGCUCUAGAUUCGUUGGUUGCUGCAGCCCAACUUGAAAAGAUGGUUGCAUAU